UGUGAGUCUGUCGAAAAGCCAAGAAUUUCGUCGAAACGACGAGAAUUCUCGUGCGAAUAAACGACCGCAGCGUUCGUUAGAAUUUUGUGGUUUUGCGGUGGAUUCGAGUGACGCGAAUCAUUGUCGUUAGAAAAAAAAUCUUACACUUUUCACUUUAUGUUCUUAUCUUGUGGUUCGUCCGAGAUUUUAUACGCUUGAAAAACAAACGAACGGUUCCGAUUCGGCGACGGUGGUAUCGAGGCAUUUCGAUGGGUGAGUUCUUGUUGCUGAUAGACGAUUUAUCAAGUAAUUUACAUUCGCUUUAAACGACUCCCGAAACACGGUGGGAGAUUUUCAACCAUUUUUCGAUCGGUUUAACCCUUUGAGUGACACGUUAUUGCCCUGAGUAAAAUUUUAUGAAAAUGUAGUACGUCAUGGUUCCGUGCAGGUGUCGCUGAUGGCGUGUCUGAAAACAGAUUGAAAAAAUUGAAGACCGCGGAUCCAUUUGGUCGAUGCAAGUUUCGAUCUCAUCGAAUAUGGUCAAUAAACUUUACGCAGGGGUUCUCGGGGUCGCUGAUUAGAUUCAUCGUAUUAAAUUUGCGAGAUCUGACUUCAGAUUCGUAAUCACCGACCCCGAAAACACCUGUUCAAAGUUUUUUCUCCGCAUUCGAUCGAAUUGGAAACUUCCGGCCGCCAUCUUGUUUGUUUAACACUCGGAUGUAUUCUCGCAAAUCGUCCGGGCAAAGAAAGUUCGCGAGUGAUGUUCCUCGCGUUGUUAUCGUUGUUAUAUUUGCGGUGCAGUGAUCACGACCGGUUGUUUCGAAGUAUAUACGCUACGCGGCUUUAUUAGCGUUUGAAUUACAACCGGACGAGUGUUUGAUUCACCGAGCAAGCAGAAUCCGCCGACGGACGUCUCGGCGAUUCCACAAGGCAAGAAAUGACAAAUUUUUCAUCCCCGAUGUUGACCUGAAAACAAAGGAACGAUCGAGGCUAGGUCCGGGAAAAGGAUCCAAGGAGGAUGACGGGUCGAAUUCGGGAUCACAGAGAGAAGCUCGGAGUGAUCCUUGCCGGUCUUGCCGAGGAAUUCCAUCCAUGGGGUGGUAAUUCAUCCCCGAACAAUCGUACAGCCGGGCUACUCAACGGGCGAGGAGUGAAGAGUGAAGAAAACGCGAAUGGGGUGGACGAUUUUUGGGGUUGAGACGAGGUCAGCUGGUACAGCACGAGCAUCGGUAUCAGCAGGAUCAGCAUCAGCAUCAGCAUCAGCAUUAGCAGCGGUGGUUCUUAAGGUUCUUAAAUUGGCGGCCGACACGAGAUCGUAAAGAUCUUUCUACCAACCCGGUGCAGCAGCAGAAACAGCAACAGACGUCUUCGUUUUACACAAUACGAUGCUUCAAAUUGUCAGCACGAAACGAGAUCG